ACCACGUGUGCAUUAUUUACAACAUACGUACAGCUAUAGAUUAGGUACCUUUGUGCAGUACCGGUAUGGUACCGAGCAUUUAUAGUUUAACAAUAAUAUAUUUUUAUUAAUGCAUGUACCUUAUAGCAUGAAAAAAAUCAUUUAAUCGCAUUUGGUUCGCCUUUAAACAUGUGAAUUUUAAACCUUGAAAUUCCGAUCGGGGAUCAGCAUUCAUAUAUAGUUUCGAGCGCCUGGGAUCCUGGCAGUGACGAGUACGUCAUAAGUAACAGAGAGAAGAGAAGCCGCACUCAGCACAGGCAAGCCUCUCUGUGAUGCACACACCCCGAGGAACCUGGCUGUUCAAAUCUCAGUUCAGCCCUUCAGGACAGUAUGAUGUUGUGGUCCAGUGGGAGGCAAAUGCAGUAUUCUACAGCUCGGCGGUCUUUCCCAGGUGUAGCAGCCUGUAGAUGUUCUGCUCAGCUUUUGAUCUCUGGCGUUCAGCCUGCUGGUCUGCCAGCAAGCUGUAGAUGGUCGUGAGUUUUCCCCAAGCUUUGCCCGGUUUAAUACUGGCUGUCAUCAUCAUCAACUGAUAGGAUGUUAUAUAUAGGGAGUAUAAGGAGAUAUACCCACUUCUGGUUUCAAGGAUGUCACUUCAGGUUAUGUAUUUGUAUAUUUACAAUCAUUGUCCAAAACUGCUACACAUACAAUUGUUUUGCAGAAAGUGCAAGUUGUUUGUUUUUUUUUUCCAUGUCCUACUUUUGGUUUGCAAAGGUAAAAUUUGCGUCUUUGCAUUGGCAUUAUUUGUUAAGGAGAUGUACCCACCUCCAGCUUUUAGGAUGUCACUUUCAGUUUUAUACAAAUUGCCAGAACUAAAUCAGACAGUGUAGAAACUAUGGCACAAGGGCUACACAAAAGGCAAAACUAUCCAGUGUGGCAAAAUAGUUACAACACUAAAAUAAAGAGUGUUAGUUUAUCCUGCUUGUGUGACUUUUAAGAAUGAGAAAAACAACAGUUUUUGAGUGUUAUCUGCUAUUCUCUGGGCAUCACAGAAAAAAAAUGGAACGAUAUUUAAGUUCAUCAGGCAAAACUUCAAUCUGACUGUGUACAGGUCAUUUUUGACGUCACAUGACUGAAUUUUUUAUUUUAUUUGAUUGGUGUUUUAUGCCUUGCUCAAGAAUAUUUCACUUAUAUCAUGGCAGUAAGUGUUCUGAUGGAAGGAAACCGGACUGAAGGAAACCACAACCUUCUCUUACUUUAAGAGGAAUACCACAUUCCAGUUGUAAAUGCCAUAAAUGUUACCAAAAAGUAUACUUUUUGUGAACCAAAGCCGUCAUGUUUUCUUAAUUUCUCUUGAUUAUGGGUAUUAAUUCAGUGAGGGGCAUUACCUGCUGUCAAUAGACAUACUGUGGACACUUUCAACACCAAGUGCACAGCAUGUGUUCAAACUGGCAUUCUGGUUUGUGUAAACAAGGAUUUGCAUUCAGUGUGCGUGAAACAUAUAUGGAUGUAUCAUUUUCCUUCUGAAGUACUAGUAUUAGAUUUGCCUGAUGAAAAAUGUUUUCUUCAUGCAGCUCUGCCAAAUAUAUGUUUUCUCAUUAAUAUCUGUGAUAUUUAUUGGCAGAUUGACAACUCCAUUUUCUGAUAUGGUGGAACAGCUUGCACUGUCAUCGUUGUCUUCAUGUCAUGGAACUUCAAGCAAAAUGCACGCCAUCAAUCCAAGACCUCAUACAGAAAUGCAUCCUACACCUUUCACAGACUUAAAUGUACUGUGUGCAGUGAUGCUCGAAUGACUAUACUCAGGAA